rnacentral:rRNA from 1 species
UACGGGGGGAGCAAGCGUUGUUCGGAUUUACUGGGCGUAAAGGGCGCGUAGGCGGCCCCCGCAGGUCGACUGUGAAAUCUCCGGGCUUAACCCGGAAAGGUCAGCCGAUACUGCGGGGCUAGAGUGCAGAAGGGGCAACUGGAAUUCUCGGUGUAGCGGUGAAAUGCGUAGAUAUCGAGAGGAACACCUGCGGCGAAGGCGGGUUGCUGGGCUGACACUGACGCUGAGGCGCGAAAGCUAGGGGAGCGAACGGG